CUGUCAGACUGACAGACAGGAUCUGGUGGUGCAGUUCUCCCUGUCAGACUGACAGACAGGGUCUGGUGGUGCAGUUCUCCCUGUCAGACUGACAGACAGGGUCUGGUGGUGCAGUUCUCCCUGUCAGACUGACAGACAGGGUCUGGUGGUGCAGUUCUCCCUGUCAGACUGACAGACAGGGUCUGGUGGUGCAGUUCUCCCUGUCAGACUGACAGACAGGGUCUGGUGGUGCAGUUCUCCCUGUCAGACUGACAGACAGGGUCUGGUGGUGCAGUUCUCCCUGUCAGACUGACAGACAGGGUCUGGUGGUGCAGUUCUCCCUGUCAGACUGACAGACAGGGUCUGGUGGUGCAGUUCUCCCUGUCAGACUGACAGACAGGGUCUGGUGGUGCAGUUCUCCCUGUCAGACUGACAGACAGGGUCUGGUGGUGCAGUUCUCCCUGUCAGACUGACAGACAGGGUCUGGUGGUGCAGUUCUCCCUGUCAGACUGACAGACAGGGUCUGGUGGUGCAGUUCUCCCUGUCAGACUGACAGACAGGGUCUGGUGGUGCAGUUCUCCCUGUCAGACUGACAGACAGGGUCUGGUGGUGCAGUUCUCCCUGUCAGACUGACAGACAGGGUCUGGUGGUGCAGUUCUCCCUGUCAGACUGACAGACAGGGUCUGGUGGUGCAGUUCUCCCUGUCAGACUGACAGACAGGGUCUGGUGGUGCAGUUCUCCCUGUCAGACUGACAGACAGGGUCUGGUGGUGCAGUUCUCCCUGUCAGACUGACAGACAGGGUCUGGUGGUGCAGUUCUCCCUGUCAGACUGACAGACAGGGUCUGGUGGUGCAGUUCUCCCUGUCAGAAAACAUGUUUGUAAUGUUAAUCAUUUGGUGACUAUGGGUCUGUUGAUCAUCAUGCUAUUCUGUUGAAAUAUCAGCCUCCGCCCACCAGUGCUGACCAUAACCCUGUAUAGCCCAACAAAACACUGCCCCACUUCCUUUACUGAUUUACAUUUACAUUUACAUUUAAGUCAUUUAGCAGACGCUCUUAUCCAGA